UACAGAGGUGGCAAGCGUUGUUCGGAAUUACUGGGCGUAAAGCGUGCGCAGGCGGUUAUGUAAGACAGGUGUGAAAUCCCCGGGCUUAACCUGGGAACUGCAUUUGUGACUGCAUAGCUAGAGUACGGUAGAGGGGGAUGGAAUUCCGCGUGUAGCAGUGAAAUGCGUAGAUAUGCGGAGGAACACCGAUGGCGAAGGCAAUCCCCUGGACCUGUACUGACGCUCAUGCACGAAAGCGUGGGGAGCAAACAGG
rnacentral:rRNA from 1 species